rnacentral:lncRNA from 1 species
ACUGACAAUACCAAGACAUGUAGUUAGACAGUGACUGGGUUCAAAUAAUUUUUUUUUAGCAUUUUAAAAACAUGCCCCCCAAUGCAUAUUCAGCAGUGGCGAGAACCCUGAAUGGCCACUCUAUUGGCGGGGCAUCACAACAACAGACCUAAAGUAAUAUGUUUAGCCUGGUUUGCUUCUGAUAAAUAUUGAUCACUGUGUAUUACACUUAAAUAAAAAACCUUAAGAGUAACACUGAUGCAUUUUCAAAACAAACUCGAGCCAUUUCAACUUGCUAAAGCCUACAUUAUAUACAGCUGCCUGUCAGCUGUAUAUACAGAAUAUGUAAAAAGGUGAAAGGUAAAGGACCCCUGACAGUUAAGUCCAGUCGCAGAUGACUCUGGGGUUGUGGCGCUCAUCUCGCUUUAUAGGCCAAGGGAGCCGGCGUUUGUCCGCAGACAGUUUCGCCAGGUCAUGUGGCCAGCAUGACUAAGCUGCUUCUGGCAAAACCAGAGCAGCGCAUGGAAACGCCAUUUACCUUCCCACCGGAGCGGUACCUAUUUAUCUACUCACACUAGCAUGCUUUCAAACUGCUAGGUUGGCAGGAGCUGGGACCGAGCAACGGGAGCUCAGCCCAUUGUGGGGAUUCAAACCGCCGACCUUCUGAUCAGCAAGCCCAAGAGGCUCAGUGGUUUAGACCACAGCGCCACCCACGUCCCUGUCAGAAUAUGUAAUAUCACUCAUUUCUUUGAAGGCCCAUCAGCCGCAAAGGCGCAAGUGCAACCUGGCUAACGUAAGAAAAUCCCUGCAUACAAAGACAAAAGGCCGCCCAGCCUAGCAUUUUGUUUUCAAAGUGGCCAACCAAAUCACUUUAUCCUGACCUUCAAAGCAGCUUACAAGUUCCUUCAGGACCAACUGAUUCCCCUGUGCUCUAUGUCAGCCACUGAGAUCCUCUGAUGGGGCACUUGUGGUGAUGCCCCACAUACCUGAAGUUUGCUUGGCUUGUACUCAGUUGGCCUACAGGUGUGGCAGGCCCUGUCCUGUGGAACUCCCUGCCAUUAGAGGUUGGGCAGGGACCGCCCCUGCCUUCUUUCAGACAGCUUCUGGAAACUAGACUGUUCCUAUUAAACCAACCGCAAUGUCUUUACCGAAGUUCUAUACUGAUUUGAUUGUAUUCCUGUAAUGUCGUAUUUAACCCUGAUAAACUUUUAUUAAGGUGCAGACUGUAAAAAGGUCAAUUUUAAAAAAAAAAAAAAUCAAGAAUACAUUUCUGCUUCCAUAUAAUAGCUAUAUAAAAAAUACAGUAAGCCCUCAUGUUAUAUGCAUUUGACUUGCACAUGGCUGAAAUUACACAGGUCAAGUCCCAAGCAAGGUGGACAGCUUAAAAGCUCUUUUUGUGCCCAUGUUUUCAAGCUCUUGGCCUCACUUGCUGAUCAAGGCCUGCCCACUUUGCCAACUUGGGGAGCUCUUUCUUUUUCUCCUUCACCCAUUAGCCAACAGCUUCACUCCACAUGACUUUCAUGCAUAUGUACUGUAUAACCCUUGGAAGUGAACCCUCAUCAAGAUUCUUCCCAAGGACACUUGGUUGUAGAUGGCCUUGUAGGAAGAGGGCACAGGACAGCUGGAACAGGAAUUGGCACCUGAUGUUUCCUCUUUCUUUCUUUUCCUUACAAAUGGCUGGAGGAGAAGAGACGGAAAACAACCCUCUUUUCCCACCACCUCCUCUCUGCUGGAACUACCUUAGAUGGUCCAAAGGAGCACCCAUGAUUAAGUCACUGUACACAGGUUUGUACAUAAGCCCCAUUUGUAAGUUUAGCUUAUGUAUUUACAGUACAUUUCAUUAUGUAGCUGAAUUUCUAUGUGCCACUGCAACACAAAACCUCCUUUAUGUUAAUUUAUACAUUUAAUUGUAGGAAUUUUCAUUAGGAAUCAGAGUUGCCAUAUGACUCGAGAGUAGGAGCAGGGAAGAAAUUUGAUUCAGCUUGCAUUUAAAAGCGCAUCUAUGAAAUUUGCACUUUCCAAAACUAUAUGAGAACCAAAAAACAGUCAUCCUCCAAAAUUUAGACAUCUCCAAAUUUUGCACUGCAGAACUCCAACCAAUGUUUACAAAAAUGUAUACAAGUAGAUAUUUAUAAAUACCUUGUUGUGUGAAGCUUGUAGUGGGUUUCCUAAUAGCUCAAUAUACUUGAUAGCUCAAAAAGUGAUCGAAUUGUGUCUCGUUCUAAAUGUCUGCAAAAGGCUGAUGCUCCCACUACUUUUCACAAUAGUUUAGAAAAGGGAAAGCCAAUAAACCAGUCAAGCUAAUCUCCUGACUUGGGUAGAAUUGUUCUCUUUGGUGCUUUUACUGGUGUUGUGUCUAGACUAGUUUUUAAAUGAGGCAGGAGAUGAAGGCUUCCAAAACCUUCUGUGGUUGGAGAAAUUAGUCACAGCUCAAUGGAACUUGGUAGAAAUUCUAGGUUUUGCCCUGGUUCCAACCACUGUCAUCCCUUUCCCAUACAAAAUGGUACAGACAGGAUAGCAGCUGCCUAAUAUUAAGACUUUGAAGUGCUUCCAACACUCUGGUUCUUGUGGCCUAGUGGUAUCCAAAAGCUUGUAACAAACUGUUCCGGCGUUGGAAGUGAAUAGCUCAGGAGGAAAAGCUUCCCCCAUGGAUUCAGUUCAGAUUAUAAAUCAUGGAUGGAACUAUAUUGUGAUGGCAUCCAAAGAUGAUCCAACAGGGCAUUCCACUUCUUAAGGCACUCCCUUAUUGGAAAAUUAUCCUUAACAUUAACUAGGCAAUUAUGAACAGUCAACACAAUAAGAAUCGUAGAGUUGGAAGGAACCCAAGUGUCAUCUAGUCCAAUCUCAGCUCAAGCAUCCAUGAUAAAUUGUCAUCCAACCUCUGCUUAAAAACCUCCCAGGAAGGAGAGUCCUCAACUUCCCGAGGGAGACUGUUCCACUGUUGAACAGCUCUUACUAACAGAAAGGUUUUCUGUAUGUUUAAUUGGAAUCUCCUUUCUUGUCACUUGAAACCAUUGAUCCUACCCUCCAGAUCAGGAGAAAAUGAGCUUGCUCCCUCUUCCAUGUGACAGCCCUUAAGAAAUAUGAAGAUGGCUAUCCUAUCUGUUCUCAGUCUCCUCUUUUCUAGGCUAAAAAUACCCAGCUCCUUCAAGCACUCUUCAUAAGGCUUGGUUGCCAGACCUUUAAUCAUCUUGGUUGCCAUCCUGUGCACACGUUCCAGCUUGUCAACAUUUUUCUUAAAUUGUGGUGCCCAGAAUUGGAUGCAGUAUCCCAGGUGUGGUCUGACCAAGGCAGUAUAGAGUGGUACUAUUACUUCCCUUGAUCUGAAGAAGUGUGCAUGCACACGAAAGCUCAUACCAAUAACAAACUUAGUUGGUCUCUAAGGUGCUACUGGAUGGAUUUUUUGUAUUUUGUUCGCUUGAUCUGGACACUAUACUUCUGUUGAUGCAGCCUAGAAUGUACUGCUAGUAAGCCAGGUGCCCCCAUCUUAUAUUUGUGCAUCUGAUUCUUCCUGCCUAAGUGCAGAACCUUACAUUUGUACCUACUGACAUUCAUUUUGUUAGCUUGCGCCCAGUUCUUCAAUAUGUUAAGGUCAUUUUGAAUUCUUAUUCUGUCUUCUGUGGCAUUAGCUACCCCUCCCAGUUUGGUGUCAUCUGCAUUUGAUGAGUAUCCCUUCAAUUCCUUUGCCCAAGUCAUUUAUAAAGACAUUGAACAAUAACAGGCCCAGGACAGAACCCUGCGGCACAUCACUUGUCACUUUUCCCCAGGGUGAUGAGGAACCAUUAAUGAGUACUGUUUGGGUUCAGUCUGCCAAACAGCUACAAAUUCACCUGACAGCUACUUCGUUCAACCCACAUUUUACCAACUUCCUUGCAAGAAUAUCAUGGGGGACUUUGUCAAAAGCCUUACUGAAAUCAAGAUACACUAUGUCCACAGCAUUCCCCUGAUCCACCAAGCUGGUUACUUCAUUAAAAAAAAGAGUUUCAUCUGACGUGCCUUGUUUUAGAGAAACCCAUGUUGGGUCUUACUAAUCACAGCAUACUUUUCUAAGUGCUCACAGACUAUCUGUUCUAGGACCUUUUCUGGUAUCGUUGUCAAGCUUUCCCCCAUUUUGAACAUGGGGCCAACACUUACCUGCCUCCAGUCUGCAGGGACAUCACCUGUUCUCCAAGAAUUCUCAAAGAUAAUAGACAAAGGCUCUGAGAUUACACCCGCAAGCUCCUUUAGUACCCUUGGAUGCAGCUCAUCAGGCCCUGGAGAGCUGAAUUCAUUUAAAGUAGCUAGGUGUUCCCUCGCUACCUCUUUUCCUGUGUUGGGCCAUAGCUCCCUCCCUACAUCAUUUAUUCUGUUAUCAUCAGGUUGGGAAUUGCUUUCCUUCUGGUGAGAUCCCAUGAGAUCUUGGAACUCUUGUGAGAUCUGCUGGAAGCUGCCACUGCACAAGCCCACUUAGUGGGGCUUCAGUGGGGGAUGUUGGCAAGCAGGGGUUGCCGCAGGGGGACCUUAGGUGGCAAAACAGGAUGGGCUGCUCUGGCCACCAGUGAGUUGUUACUGUCACUGUGGAUCCUUCCUUCAAGCCUCUCACUCCCUUCCUUUUAUACCUUCAUUGCUCACCACAACCCUCCAGUUGUCCUUUCUCUUACCUCUUAUUGGGGUGUGUGGAGUUGAGUCCUGCCCUGCAUAAUUGAUCACAACACACACACACCAUUUGAAUAGCGGUGCCCAUCAACUUUCACAAGGCCCAGCCCUCUCAAAUAUUCUAGUGGGACCUCAGCCCCUAGGAGUUCGCUCCUGUGCCUCUUAUGGAGUGUUUGCAAGCGCUUAACCUUCUCUAUUGCUUUAGCCCGGCCAUUGCUUUUUUUAGCCAAUACUAAUUCUUCUUCCUCUCCCUAUAUUUUUUGCUGCCUCUUUGCUCAUUUCCCCAUUUUGAUGGGCCUCAUUUCUCUGUGAAGUUCUGCGACCCUAAUGUUAAAGGUCCUAAAAGGUCUUGUUUCAGUGUGUCCGUGUCUGUGUGUGUGUGUGUGUGUGUGUGUGUGUAGAAGUAUAUAUGGGUAGAGGAAGUGCAUGUGAUAAGAAAACCAGGGGAUGGAACCACGAACAGAUAUUACUGGGUAUCCAUUUUAAGAGCCAACCAUGUCAUGAUGACGAGUCACUGAAGGUUUUGCUUUGGAGGAAGACAGUUUGAUAGACAGUAGACCGCCAUCACUGGCCACCAUCUGUACAUAAUCCAAGGGAGGGUGGUUUGGUGUGGGCCUGAGGCCGUGCAAAGGAAACACUCAGAUCCCAACCACCUCUAAAUUUAAGCUCAGACUUGACAACUGAUGAGCUCCAGAAGCUGGGUGACAAAGCCACACUUAUGCUGUGGUUCCCCCCUCCUCUUCAUUUAAAAGCUCUUUGAUGGUCCUACUGCAACUCCAAAUCCAACAACUGAAGAAUCACACCAGCAUUUCUGUGGCAAGGGGCUACUUUGAUAAUUUGAGACAGGCAGCAUUCUUAACUUCAUUUUUUAAAAACAGAAUCAACAUUUGCUUUGGCAAUAUGGCCAGGUAGCAAAAGGCUAGCAGUUAUUAUUAUUAAUCUCGUAAAAACAUGUUUAUGUGUAAGAUGGGGUUUUUGGCCAAAGGGUUGUGGGGAUGGUAAAAGAGAGAAGAGAAUGUGCUUGGAAAACACAUUCAAACCUCCAGAAUGUAGUGAAGUGUUCAGGGUUGGCUUUAAGGGGGAAAUCCAACUCCCAAACGUCUAAUACUUGCUUCUGUUGGGCCUAAUAAACACAAACCACAAGUGUUGUGGGGCGGGGUGGUGUGGAGGGUGAGGUGUGGUCCCUUCUGCUCUCAUACACAGCUUUGUGUGACUUCACAACACACCAAGCCUGGUCAAAUUUUCACCCUUCCCAUGCGUUUCUGUUAUUCAAAUCAUGUGUUAUGAUUCAGAAACCAGACGGCACUUGCUCACCACAUACAACUUAAACAUACAACUUGUGAGCCACCAGAUCAAAUGCAGUGCACCAGUUAUCUGUUGCGGCCUGUCAGGAGCUUGACGGACACCCAUUGUUUUUGCAGAAGGUUUAUUGACACCCAUAAGAUCACCGUGGCAACCUUAACCUUAACCCUGGCGUGUGGGAAUCCCUUGCAGACAAACACAAUGCCUGGAGACAGACAGUAUCCAGAGAAGAAACAACUGCUGCGAGGAGUGCAGAGGGGAGAAAUGCUACAGUGCAUCUGCACCAGCGAAAAGAGAUGCCUUUGUCUGCCCCAGCUGCAAUAAAACAUGUCUCUCCCCUAUCGGUCUCCACAGCCACAACAGUCACUGUAACUCUCCAAUGGUUUGACUUCCCUCCUGAAGGUGCACUCCUCCAUUGUCUCUCAAGACAGAUGGAUGCUAACAGAAGGGGGUGGGGACUAGGUAUGAUGUAAAAUGUGCCUUUGAAGUCAACAGUCAGCUAUUUUAUUUUAAUGCAGAUACUUAUCAGGAUCGCAUCAGGUAAGGAUGAAUUUAACCAUUUGCCCCCGUUAUGAGGAUGAGCUCCUCAAAAGCUCAUACUUGUGAGAGGAGGACGCUAUUCCAUGGGGCAUGUUGCUUGCUUUGCAGAAUGUACGGUGCCUUGCAGAUUAGCAGUGUCUGUUGGGUACUUACGCCCCCGCCUGAACGGUGCUCAUAAACA